UACGGGAGCAGCAGUGGGAAUAUUGCACAAUGGGCGCAAGCCUGAUGCAGCCAUGCCGCGUGUAUGAAGAAGGCCUUCGGGUUGUAAAGUACUUUCAGCAGUGAGGAAGGUGGAGUCGUUAAUAGCGGCCUCAUUUGACGUUAGCUGCAGAAGAAGCACCGGCUAACUCCGUGCCAGCAGCCGCGGUAAUACGGAGGGUGCGAGCGUUAAUCGGAAUUACUGGGCGUAAAGCGCAUGCAGGUGGUUUGUUAAGUCAGAUGUGAAAGCCCCGGGGCUCAACCUCGGAAUUGCAUUUGAAACUGGCAGACUAGAGUACUGUAGAGGGGGUAGAAUUUCAGGUGUAGCGGUGAAAUGCGUAGAGAUCUGAAGGAAUACCGGUGGCGAAGGCGGCCCCCUGGACAGAUACUGACACUCAGAUGCGAAAGCGUGGGGAGCAAACAGGAUUAGAUACCCUGGUAG
rnacentral:rRNA from 1 species